GCACUACUUGACACGCUAAAGUAAUGUGAGUAGGAGCUAAUAGUACACUAGCCAAUCGAUAUAUGGCGAGAGUUGAUUGGUGUGGUGUGAUGAAGAAAACGGUGAUACUGGUUGGUGUCUAUACUUUAUCCAAAUUAUCGCCUGACCGUCGAUAACGAUGAAGAUGAAGCGAUAGCUUAGUUAAUUAACCUUGUGCUAGUAGUGUUAUGUUAAUUAAGUAGACUUAAUGAGCACUUGAGCUAGUUGUACUGCCAACAAACAAAAAAGACAAAUUGAAAUUUUUCUUUACAACAUUAAUGUAAUAUACCAAUAAUAAUACUCUUAUCGGUGGAUCACUUGGCUCAUGGAUCGAUGAAGAACGCAGCUAGCUGCGAUAAAUAGUGCGAAUUGCAGACGCAUUGAGCACAAAGAUUUCGAACGCACAUUGCACUAUCGGGUUGAGUCCCGGUAGAACGUCUGGUUGAGG
rnacentral:misc_RNA from 1 species